UACAGAGGUCCCGAGCGUUGUUCGGAUUCACUGGGCGUAAAGGGUGCGUAGGCGGCUUGGCAAGUCUGAUGUGAAAGCCCCGGGCUUAACCCGGGAAUGGCAUCGGAAACUGCCAGGCUCGAGGCUUGGAGGGGGGACUGGAAUGCUCGGUGUAGCAGUGAAAUGCGUAGAGAUCGAGCGGAACACCGGUGGCGAAGGCGAGUCCCUGGACAAGACCUGACGCUGAGGCACGAAAGCCAGGGGAGCAAACAGG
rnacentral:rRNA from 1 species